UACGGGGGGGGCAAGCGUUGUUCGGAAUUACUGGGCGUAAAGGGCUCGUAGGUGGCCAACUAAGUCAUACGUGAAAUCCCUCGGCUUAACCGGGGAACUGCGUCUGAUACUGGAUGGCUUGAGGUUGGGAGGGGGAUGCGGAAUUCCGCGUGUAGUGGUGAAAUGCGUAGAGAUGCGGAAGAACACCAGUGGCGAAGGCGGUCAACUGGCCUCAUAUUGACACUCAGACGCGAAGGCAUGGGUAGCGAACGGG
rnacentral:rRNA from 1 species